UACGAGAGGCCCAAACGUUAUUCGGAAUUACUGGGCUUAAAGAGUUCGUAGGCGGCAUUGCAAGUAGGGUGUGAAAGCCCUCGGCUCAACCGAGGAAUUGCGCUCUAAACUGCAGUGCUUGAGGAACCUAGAGGUGAGCAGAACUGAUGGUGGAGCGGUGAAAUGCGUAGAUAUCGGAAGGAACAUCAGUGGCGAAAGCGACUUCCUGGACCAAUACUGACGCUCAUGUGCGAAAGCGUGGGGAGCAAACAGG
rnacentral:rRNA from 1 species